rnacentral:rRNA from 1 species
GCAUAUCAAUAAGCGGAGGAAAAGAAACCAACAGGGAUUGCCCUAGUAACGGCGAAGUGAAGCGGCAACAGCUCAAAUUUGAAAUCUGGCCCUCGGGUCCGAGUUGUAAUUUGUAGAGGAUGCUUUUGGUGCGGUGCCUUCCGAGUUCCCUGGAACGGGACGCCAUAGAGGGUGAGAGCCCCGUCUGGUUGGACGCCAAUCCUAUGUAAAGCUCCUUCGACGAGUCGAGUAGUUUGGGAAUGCUGCUCUAAAUGGGAGGUAUAUGUCUUCUAAAGCUAAAUAUUGGCCAGAGACCGAUAGCGCACAAGUAGAGUGAUCGAAAGAUGAAAAGCACUUUGAAAAGAGAGUUAAAAAGCACGUGAAAUUGUUGAAAGGGAAGCGCUUAUGACCAGACUUGGGCUUGGUUGAUCAUCCGGCGUUCUCGCCGGUGCACUCUUCCGGUCCAGGCCAGCAUCAGUUUGCUCCGGGGGAUAAAGGCUUUGGGAAUGUGGCUCCCUCGGGAGUGUUAUAGCCCAUUGUGUAAUACCCUGGAGCGGACUGAGGUACGCGUUCUGCAAGGAUGCUGGCGUAAUGGUCAUCAGUGACCCGUCUUGAAACACGGACCAAGGAGUCGUCUUCGUAUGCGAGUGUUCGGGUGUCAAACCCCUACGCGUAAUGAAAGUGAACGCAGGUGAGAGCUUCGGCGCAUCAUCGACCGAUCCUGAUGUUCUCGGAUGGAUUUGAGUAAGAGCAUACGGGGCCGGACCCGAAAGAAGGUGAACUAUGCCUGUGUAGGGUGAAGCCAGAGGAAUCUCUGGUGGAGGCUCGCAGCGGUUCUGACGUGCAAAUCGAUCGUCAAACAUGGGCAUGGGGGGCGAAAGACUAAUCGAACCUUCUAGUAGCUGGGUUUCCGCCGAA